rnacentral:tRNA from 1 species
GCGGUCGUGGCGGAACUGGUAGACGCGCCAGAUUCAGGUUCUGGUGGCUUCACGGCUGUGGGAGUUCGAGUCUCCCCGACCGCACAA